GACGAACGCUGGCGGCGUGCCUAAUACAUGCAAGUCGAGCGAGUCUCUUCGGAGGCUAGCGGCGGACGGGUGAGUAACACGUAGGCAACCUGCCUCUCAGACUGGGAUAACAUAGGGAAACUUAUGCUAAUACCGGAUAGGUUUUUGGAUCGCAUGAUUCGAAUAGAAAAGGCGGCUUCGGCUGUCACUGGGAGAUGGGCCUGCGGCGCAUUAGCUAGUUGGUGGGGUAACGGCCUACCAAGGCGACGAUGCGUAGCCGACCUGAGAGGGUGACCGGCCACACUGGGACUGAGACACAGCCCAGACUCCUACGGGAGGCGGCAGUAGGGAAUUUUCCACAAUGGACGAAAGUCUGAUGGAGCAACGCCGCGUGAACGAUGAAGGUCUUCGGAUUGUAAAGUUCUGUUGUUAGGGACGAAUAAGUACCGUUCGAAUAGGGCGGUACCUUGACGGUACCUGACGAGAAAGCCACGGCUAACUACGUGCCAGCCGCCGCAGUAAAAC
rnacentral:rRNA from 1 species